CCUACGUGAGUCAGCAGUGGGGGAUAUUGCACAAUGGAGGGAACUCUGAUGCAGCGACGCCGCGUGAGGGAAGAAGGUUUUCGGAUUGUAAAACUCUGUCUUCGGUGACGAAACUAGACGGUAGCCGAGGAGGAAGCCACGGCUAACUACGUGCCAGCAGCCGCGGUACUACGUAGGUGGCCAGCGUUGUCCGGAAUUACUGGGGGUAACGGGAGCGUAGGCGGGAAAGCAAGUUGAAUGUGUAAGGUACGGGCUCACACUGUAAAAGCGUGCAAUACUGGUUUUCUUGAGUGGAGUAGAGGUAAGCAGAAUUCCUAGUGUAGCGGUGAAAUGCGUAAAGAUUAGGAGGAACACCAGGGGCGAAGGCGGCUUACUG
rnacentral:rRNA from 1 species